UUGAACGCUGGCGGCAGGCCUAACACAUGCAAGUCGAGCGGAUGGAGGGAGCUUGCUCCUGGAUUCAGCGGCGGACGGGUGAGUAAUGCCUAGGAAUCUGCCUGGUAGUGGGGGAUAACGUCCGGAAACGGGCGCUAAUACCGCAUACGUCCUGAGGGAGAAAGUGGGGGAUCUUCGGACCUCACGCUAUCAGAUGAGCCUAGGUCGGAUUAGCUAGUUGGUGGGGUAAAGGCCUACCAAGGCGACGAUCCGUAACUGGUCUGAGAGGAUGAUCAGUCACACUGGAACUGAGACACGGUCCAGACUCCUACGGGAGGCAGCAGUGGGGAAUAUUGGACAAUGGGCGAAAGCCUGAUCCAGCCAUGCCGCGUGUGUGAAGAAGGUCUUCGGAUUGUAAAGCACUUUAAGUUGGGAGGAAGGGCAGUAAGUUAAUACCUUGCUGUUUUGACGUUACCAACAGAAUAAGCACCGGCUAACUUCGUG
rnacentral:rRNA from 1 species